rnacentral:rRNA from 1 species
AGUGGCAGACGGGUGAGUAACGCGUGGGAAUCUACCCAGUUCUACGGAACAACAGUUGGAAACGACUGCUAAUACCGUAUACGCCCUACGGGGGAAAGAUUUAUCGGAAUUGGAUGAGCCCGCGUAAGAUUAGCUAGUUGGUGGGGUAAUGGCCUACCAAGGCGACGAUCUUUAGCUGGUCUGAGAGGAUGAUCAGCCACACUGGGACUGAGACACGGCCCAGACUCCUACGGGAGGCAGCAGUGGGGAAUAUUGGACAAUGGGCGCAAGCCUGAUCCAGCCAUGCCGCGUGAGUGAUGAAGGCCUUAGGGUUGUAAAGCUCUUUCAGUAGGGAAGAUAAUGACGGUACCUACAGAAGAAGCCCCGGCUAACUUCGUGCCAGCAGCCGCGGUAAUACGAAGGGGGCUAGCGUUGUUCGGAUUUACUGGGCGUAAAGCGCACGUAGGCGGUUUGUUAAGUCAGAGGUGAAAUCCCGGAGCUCAACUCCGGAACUGCCUUUGAUACUGGCAAGCUAGAGUCCGGAAGAGGUAAGUGGAACUCCUAGUGUAGAGGUGGAAUUCGUAGAUAUUAGGAAGAACACCAGUGGCGAAGGCGGCUUACU